rnacentral:rRNA from 1 species
GUGGGGAAUAUUGGGCAAUGGGGGAAACCCUGACCCAGCAACGCCGCGUGAGGGAAGAAGGUUUUCGGAUUGUAAACCUCUGUCCUCAGGGACGAAGGAAGUGACGGUACCUGAGGAGGAAGCCCCGGCAAACUACGUGCCAGCAGCCGCGGUAAUACGUAGGGGGCGAGCGUUGUCCGGAAUUACUGGGCGUAAAGGGUGCGUAGGCGGUUAGAUAAGUCGGAUGUGGAAUACCCGGGCUUAACCCGGGGGUGUCAUACGAAACUGUGUAACUUGAGUGCAGAAGAGGAAAGCGGAAUUCCCAGUGUAGCGGUGAAAUGCGUAGAUAUUGGGAGGAACACCAGUGGCGAAGGCGGCUUUCUGGGCUGUAACUGACGCUGAGGCACGAAAGCGUGGGGAGCAAACAGGAUUAGAAACCCGGGUAGUCC